ACCGCGGCUGCUGGCACGAAGUUAGCCGGAGAAGAAGCACCGGCUAACUCUGUGCCAGCAGCCGCGGUAAGACAGAGGGUGCUAGCGUUGUUCGGAAUUACUGGGCGUAAAGGGCGCGUAGGCGGCCCGUUUAGUCGGGUGUGAAAUCCCGGGGCUCAACCCCGGAACUGCAUUCGAUACUGGCGGGCUUGAGACCGGAAGAGGUGGGUGGAAUACCCAGUGUAGAGGUGAAAUUCGUAGAUAUUGGGUGGAACACCGGUGGCGAAGGCG
rnacentral:rRNA from 1 species